rnacentral:rRNA from 1 species
CGGGUGAGUAACGCGUGAGGAACCUGCCUCAAAGAGGGGGACAACAGUUGGAAACGACUGCUAAUACCGCAUAAGCCCACGGCUCGGCAUCGAGCAGAGGGAAAAGGAGCAAUCCGCUUUGAGACGGCCUCGCGUCCGAUUAGCUAGUUGGUGAGGUAACGGCCCACCAAGGCGACGAUCGGUAGCCGGACUGAGAGGUUGAACGGCCACAUUGGGACUGAGACACGGCCCAG